UUGGCAUGUGAUACCUUUUCGGA
rnacentral:siRNA from 1 species